UACAGAGGGGGCAAGCGUUGUUCGGAAUUACUGGGCGUAAAGGGCGCGUAGGCGGCCCGCUAAGUCGAACGUGAAAUCCCCGAGCUCAACUCGGGAACUGCGUCCGAUACUGGCGGGCUUGAAUCCGGGAGAGGGAUGCGGAAUUCCAGGUGUAGCGGUGAAAUGCGUAGAUAUCUGGAGGAACACCGGUGGCGAAGGCGGCAUCCUGGACCGGCAUUGACGCUGAGGCGCGAAAGCUAGGGGGAGCAA
rnacentral:rRNA from 1 species